UACAUGUAUAUGUCUAUGGUUUCCAGAAAACAAGAGUUGCAUAUAGAUCAUAAAUUCUGAUGGAUAUUUAGUAAAAGGCAUUAAACUAGAAGAAGGUAAAAAGAAGAAGUGUCACCAAAUUGGAUUUUUUGCUCUAUGAAGACAGUGCUGAAUACUUGAAAUGUAUGCUGUACAAAUUGUUAUUGAAGAAAUAAAAUUUGUAAAUUUGACAAGUUAAAAUAUUAUUUAAUGGCAGAAAAAGUGAAACAUGAUGAUGACGUCACUGGCAUCCCUGGCUAACACCAUUUUACUUAUGUGAGUGGAUGAUAUGAAUCACUCUGUCUCUCCUCUACCUGAGCAAAAAAAAAAAUAAAUUGUCCUUUUAUUUACAU